rnacentral:rRNA from 1 species
GGGGAAACGACAUCGAAAGCUUGCUUUUGAUGGGCGUCGACCGGCGCACGGGUGAGUAACGCGUAUCCAACCUGCCCACCACUUGGGGAUAACCUUGCGAAAGUAAGACUAAUACCCAAUGACGUCUCUAGAAGACAUCUGAAGGAGAUUAAAGAUUUAUCGGUGAUGGAUGGGGAUGCGUCUGAUUAGCUUGUUGGCGGGGUAACGGCCCACCAAGGCUACGAUCAGUAGGGGUUCUGAGAGGAAGGUCCCCCACAUUGGAACUGAGACACGGUCCAAACUCCUACGGGAGGCAGCAGUGAGGAAUAUUGGUCAAUGGACGAGAGUCUGAACCAGCCAAGUAGCGUGCAGGAUGACGGCCCUAUGGGUUGUAAACUGCUUUUAUAAGGGAAUAAAGUGAGUCUCGUGAGACUUUUUGCAUGUACCUUAUGAAUAAGGACCGGCUAAUUCCGUGCCAGCAGCCGCGGUAAUACGGAAGGUCCGGGCGUUAUCCGGAUUUAUUGGGUUUAAAGGGAGCGUAGGCCGGAGAUUAAGCGUGUUGUGAAAUGUAGACGCUCAACGUCUGCACUGCAGCGCGAACUGGUUUCCUUGAGUACGCACAAAGUGGGCGGAAUUCGUGGUGUAGCGGUGAAAUGCUUAGAUAUCACGAAGAACUCCGAUUGCGAAGGCAGCUCACUGGAGCGCAACUGACGCUGAAGCUCGAAAGUGCGGGUAUCGAACAGGAUUAGAUACCCUGGUAGUCCGCACGGUAAACGAUGGAUGCCCGCUGUUGGUCUGAAUAGGUCAGCGGCC